UCACAUGUUACCCAAAACAAAAGUUCACGAUAAUAUUAUCCAUCAUUUAAGUGAAAAGAAAAAAGAAAAAUGAUGCGCAAGCAUCUACAUCUACGUUGCACGUCACCUUCCUCACCGACCCCCCUCGCCGUGUUCUGAAAUCCGUAUGCUCUCGUUAAGAUUUGGAAAAUGCAUCAACAUGGAAAAUCUGUUCACGCUCCAAGGAGUGGGGAAUUUCAAUUUGAAUGAAGAGGUGGUGAAAAGAAUCCCGGCCAAUAUCAAGAAAUUGUGCAUAACCUACCAAGGAGAAGUAAUUGAGAGAGUGGAGUGUCUCAGCUAUCUUCAUUGUUUGAGUAAACUGGAAAUCUUGAGCUGCUCCACACAAGGUGGAAGUGAUGAGUAUCUGAAAAGGAUUACCUUCCCACAUUCUCACAAGAAGUUGACUCUCAAUGCCUCGUUUGAAUUUGAUCUUGAGUUAGAAGACAUAUUGCAAAAGACUGGUUCGUUACCCCUUCUUGAGAAGCUCGUAUUGCAAUGUGGUUUCUUCAGAACACGCACGUGGGAAACAAUCGAAGGUCAUUUCCCUAGGCUCAAGUCACUCGAUGUGGUGGUGUCGCGAUCUAGAAUACUGGAGCAUGUUAGAGAGCUCCCACUUUCCACAUCUUGAGAAGCUUUUUCUUGUUAGAUUAUCAGUACUCAAGGAGAUUCCUUCAGAAAUAGGAGAGUUAGCAACACUCAAAUCAAUUGAGUUGAGAGAAUGCCCUGAAUCAGUAUUGGUGUCAGCUAAAAAGAUAGCAGAGGAACAAGAGGAUUUAUAUGGAGACCAAGUAGAACUUCGUGUUCGAGCUGUCGUUGGGAAGAAAGAUGAAGCACUGCCGAGGUUGGCGAGUGCCAACUUUGAAGUUGAAGUGAGAGAUUAUUAGAAAUUCUUCCACAAGUCUUUGUAUUGUUCAUUUUGUUUUACUAAAAUAACUGCUUUAAUUUCUCUUCCUUUUGGAACAUUUAUUUAUGUGCUUAAACUUUCUUACGUUAGAUCAUCAGUUGCUGUUCAUUUCUGCCAUCUGAAUUCAUAACUGGAAUUAAUAACCCUUAUCGAAACACACACACCAAC
rnacentral:lncRNA from 1 species